rnacentral:rRNA from 1 species
CUCAGGAUGAACGCUGGCGGCGUGCCUAAUACAUGCAAGUCGAGCGAACAGAUAAGGAGCUUGCUCCUUUGACGUUAGCGGCGGACGGGUGAGUAACACGUGGGUAACCUACCUAUAAGACUGGAAUAACUCCGGGAAACCGGGGCUAAUGCCGGAUAACAUGUUGAACCGCAUGGUUCUACAGUGAAAGACGGUCUUGCUGUCACUUAUAGAUGGACCCGCGCCGUAUUAGCUAGUUGGUGGGGUAACGGCCUACCAAGGCGACGAUACGUAGCCGACCUGAGAGGGUGAUCGGCCACACUGGAACUGAGACACGGUCCAGACUCCUACGGGAGGCAGCAGUAGGGAAUCUUCCGCAAUGGGCGAAAGCCUGACGGAGCAACGCCGCGUGAGUGAUGAAGGUCUUCGGAUCGUAAAGCUCUGUUGUUAGGGAA